ACGCUUGAAGUCAGUCGCGUUGGCUGGAAAUCAACCUUACUUUUGUUGGGUGUACUUUCUGGUUGACGGGUCAGUAUCAGUUUUGACCGGUGGAUAAAGGUGCAGGGAAUGUGGCUCCCUCGGGAGUGUUAUAGCCUUGUAUCAUAUACAUCGGUUGGGACUGAGGUACUCAGCACGCCGCAAGGCCGGGUUUCGACCACGUUCGUGCUUAGGAUACUGGCAUAAUGGCUUUAAUCGACCCGUCUUGAAACACGGACCAAGGAGUC
rnacentral:rRNA from 1 species